rnacentral:rRNA from 1 species
AUUGAACGCUGGCGGCAUGCCUUACACAUGCAAGUCGAACGGCAGCACGGGGGCAACCCUGGUGGCGAGUGGCGAACGGGUGAGUAACGCAUCGGAACGUGCCCAGUAGUGGGGGAUAACCAGUCGAAAGACUGGCUAAUACCGCAUACGACCUACGGGUGAAAGCGGGGGACCGCAAGGCCUCGCGCUAUUGGAGCGGCCGAUGUCUGAUUAGCUAGUUGGCGGGGGUAAGAGCCCACCAAGGCGACGAUCAGUAGCUGGUCUGAGAGGACGACCAGCCACACUGGGACUGAGACACGGCCCAGACUCCUACGGGAGGCAGCAGUGGGGAAUUUUGGACAAUGGGCGCAAGCCUGAUCCAGCCAUGCCGCGUGCGGGAAGAAGGCCUUCGGGUUGUAAACCGCUUUUGGCAGGAACGAAACGGCGACCUCUAAUACGGGUCGUUAAUGACGGUACCUGCAGAAUAAGCACCGGCUAACUACGUGCCAGCCGCCGCGGUAAAAC